UUUAAAAAAAAUUAAAAUACUGACAAAAAAUCAUGUUAAAUCCUAAAAUUUCUAAAAUUCCAAAUAACUAAAUCCCUAAAAUAUCUCACAUAAUCACUUCACGUUCUUCACCAAAAAAAAGAAAAAAAAAACUUUCACGUUCUAAAAUUACAGUUACAAUUUAAAACUGUUUUCUUUUUAAAUAAGUUUGACUAAAAAACUUUACUCUCUACUAAUCUCCUUCUCUCUCUCCUUCCUCUUCUCCAUUGUUUCAUAUUCUUCUUUUUUACGAUUACAAGUUUUUGACUGAAGCAAAAACAACAUAGGACAUAAGGUUUAUAAUUACUUUGACCGAGUAUACUCAUGUUUCAAAGCUUAAUUCUUUUUAAACUUCAAAGCUUUUUUUUUUGGCAGCAUAAAUUUCAAAGCUUAAUUCUCCAAUAAAUGAGUGACAAAUCGAAGCUUUGUCAGCAACAAAGGGAAGGAGAGUAAGAGGCUCAUCUUAGAUCACACUUCCAUGGCCCAUAAGAAACUUGAGAAGUACCACAAGAAGAAAA